UACGUAGGGUGCAAGCGUUUAAUCGGAAUUACUGGGCGUAAAGCGUGCGCAGGCGGUGAUGUAAGACAGAUGUGAAAUCCCCGGGCUCAACCUGGGAACUGCAUUUGUGACUGCAUCGCUGGAGUGCGGCAGAGGGGGAUGGAAUUCCACGUGUAGCAGUGAAAUGCGUAGAGAUGUGGGGGAACACCGAUGGCGAAGGCAGCCCCUGGGUCAAGACUGACGCUCAUGCACGAAAGCGUGGGGAGCAAACAGG
rnacentral:rRNA from 1 species